AUGACAUAGAAGAAAGUCUAUAUUUUUUAUCGAUCAGUAUAAACAGUGGCUUGUGGUUACUGCUGCCCAGUACCAACCUAUGGAUCUUGCCUCACUGUAUGCUAUGAAAUAGGAUUAACUCUAAGAAGAGAAAACAUAAAUUUUCAGACAGAAAGCUACACUUAUCAAUAUGGCCACGAGUAAGGAUACUUCAUCUGCACAAAAAAAGGAGAACAAAUUAACUCACAUCUCCAGCACUACAAAAUAGAGAUGAUCAUUAUCUUCACUGACUAUUUUGGAUCAAGUAGAAGGAUCUUCAGAAAAUACUGCGCCAGCCAAGCAGACUGCCCUGUACUGAUGAGCUGCUGUGUGUUUCCUGAUCUUGAG
ensembl:lncRNA